rnacentral:snRNA from 2 species
GGAUGUAGGGCCACUUGACUAUGAGAUCUGGCACACCACUGAUCGCCAGGGUUGAUUUGGCUGAUCUGGUUGGUUGUCCCCUUCCUCCCUCAUGGCUCCAUGUGCAUCCCUCCUGAAGCAUGCCUGGUUGAAAAAGACAGCAUUACCUGAUAGAGGAGGACCGGCUUAGGUCAAGGGCAUAUGAGUAGCUGUGCUCUCCUGCUAGAACCUGCAAAUAGGCUCUCAAGGUCCAUUUGUAGGAGAAUAUGAGGUAGUCAAGUUUCCAAAACUCUAGACACAUCCAAAUGAGGUGCUGCAUGUGGCAGUCUGCCUUUCUUU